AAUGAUACUCCCGCAUUCGGUGCGGUCUGCCGGCAGGCAGAAGAUGCGGUUUCGUUUUGGGUUGAAUGAAUACCCGCGAAUGCAUUU
rnacentral:sRNA from 12 species